AUGAUGCUGGUUUGUGCAGAAUACAUUGUGUUAUGUCAUAAAAUAUCAUUAACUUUUCAAGCCAAAAACAUUUUCUAUACAUUCUGUAAUUUCGUACCAAUGCUUUUAUUCAAAUUUGGCAAACAUCAAGGAAAAGAGAUCAGAACAGUACAAACUAAAGAGAACAUCAAUAAGGAGGGCACCAUCCAGGUGGACCAGGAGAGAUGGAUGCCAAACUGCAACAAGCACCUGGAAGGUGAGGAAGAUGUCUUCAGAAGAUGGAAACUGUUCUUUCAAAAACUGACCGAGAAAAUAAGUUGA
rnacentral:lncRNA from 1 species